UACGUAGGUGGCGAGCGUUGUCCGGAUUUACUGGGUGUAAAGGGAGCGUAGACGGCAGAGCAAGUCUGAAGUGAAAGCCCGCGGCCCAACUGCGGGACUGCUUUGGAAACUGCCCGGCUAGAGUGCUGGAGAGGUAAGCGGAAUUCCUAGUGUAGCGGUGAAAUGCGUAGAUAUUAGGAGGAACACCAGUGGCGAAGGCGGCUUUCUGGACUGUAACUGACACUGAGGUACGAAAGCGUGGGGAGCAAACAGG
rnacentral:rRNA from 1 species